UCGGGGAGGUUGUGUCAAUUUAAUUACGUGCUUUUCAAUCCAAUUAAAACAUUUUCAUUGAGCCAUUAGAAGUGAAAGACAAUCAUUCAUUGCUAAUUAGGGCAUUGGACCCAUUUAAUCUUUAAUCUCAUGUCAAAACCCUCUAUUAGUUAUGUCUCCUUACCAAUAGUUAAAGAAACUCUAGUCUAGUACUAGAGGGAAUCAACUAACUAAAAGAGAUUAAGAAGUAAUAAGAAUUACAAACUGAUUUGUACAAAUUCCUACAAAUUACACAUACUAAGAGGGAGAGAUAGAUUAAUGUCCAACGUGACAAGGUCCAAUUAAAAAAGUAAUUAAAACACAUUCCCAAGGUUCAAACAAUUUGAUUUUAGCGCCUUAUCUUAUAGCUCAAUUAUCGUUUAAGGCAUAAGUCCAUAGUCACCCAUUUUCUAACUACUUAAUCACAUUAAAUAAUUAAAUGGAAUGCAACAUAAACAUUUAGAUUUAGUGCAUAUGGGCAUAAUGGUAUUAUGAGUUUAAACAACUAACAAAAUUAAAAUCAAAUAUUUUAACUUUCUAGUUAGUAAGGGCCUAAAUGCAAAUAUGAAAAAGUUAGGGGUAAAACCGUAAAUACAUCAAAAGUAAAAACAACUUUUUCCAAAUUACAAAAAGACCCCACAAGUGGGAAAUCCACUAGGGGAGGCCGGCCAUUACAAGGUGAGAUGGGAAGUCUCACCCAUAAAGCUUUAAUUCAAUGCAAAGUAGAAAAAAUUAAAUUUUGCUUGUCACAUGGUUUUGGCUUUAAAGACUUAGGUGAAAAGGGGUGAUGGAAAUCUCCUAGUCAAGUCUAGGGUUUUAUAAAUUUAUGAUAUGGUUAUGGAUGGUAUGAACAUCAUCCAAAACCACAAACAAUGCAUGAAAACCAAAUAAAACCAUUUUCACCAAAAACAAACCAUGAACACCAAGAACAAAACCAUGAACACAUUUUCAAGAUUUGUAUAUUCUUGGUGAUUUUUCAAACCCAAAAACAAAGGUGACAAGGUUUCUACUUUCUAGCUUUAAAAGGAUGUGUGAGUGUCUUACAAUAAAACACAAACACAUGCCAAAAAACACCCCAAAACCUUGCCUACCCUAUGGAACAAAACCCCAAAUUUUGUUCAUGACUUACUCUUCAUUCAUGCAUACAAAACACUUUUUGCAUACAUAUCUUUCUCAACUAUUGAUUCACAUUUUUCAACUAUUGAAAAACAAAAGAUAAACAUAUUUUAAAUGAAGCAAUAACAUGUCAAACUUGUUCAAAACUCAAUCUUCAUUCAUGCAUCCAAAACACCUUUUUGCAUGCAUAUCUUUUCAACAUUUGAUUCACAUUUUUUCAACAUUUGAAAAACAAAAGAUAAACAUACUUUGAAUGAAGAAAUAAUAUGUCAAACAUUAAAUUAAAACCCAUAUGCAUAAAAUCCAAAAGGACACAUAAUAUAUAAACCUUUGGCUCUGAUACCACUUGAAGGGAAAUCUAUGAGAUUCAUGUGGGAUUUCUAAUGACUAGCAUGCAUAUACAAUUCAAAAUUUAUAUACG
rnacentral:lncRNA from 1 species